ACCCCUGAGAGCCUGUGUCAAGUGCUGUCAAUGGAUUUCCCUUUUGAGGUAACACAAGCAUUGUCUUUAUUGCUCUGAUGGGAUUGCAGGACACAGGGAGCUUGGUUACCCAAUGUCUUAGGAUAUCCUCUGACUUUGCUGUGUCAAAGCAUCAGAAAAGGGCUGAAAGCUGAUUCCUGGAAAAAGAUGUGCCGCUGUCCUUCAGAGCCUCAGCUCUGCUCUGUUAGAGACAUCAGAAUGCCAAAGCUGCUCAUCUGUGUCCCUCAUUUUACAGGUGAAGAGGUGGGGGCCCAAGGAGGGACAAGGCUUUCAUUCCUAGGUCCUUCUGGGGUGCCUGUUUUCGGCCACAAGCCUGGCUGCCAUAGCUGACUGUAAAGUUGGGAGCUCCUGUGACGGACAGACCACAGGGGUUCAAACUCCUUAUCCUUCCUUCCUCCCAAGAGCAAAUGAUGGCUGGGGAUGGCAGUGCUUUCUGAACAGUGGUGUGGAGGCAGGGCGACCAACUUGUCCUGGUUUGUCCAGAACUUUCUCGAUUUAGCACCAAAAGUCUCAUGUCUCUAGAAGCUCCUCAGUUCUCAGCAACCUUUUAUCAUCCUCAGAAUCUACAGUUAUCCUCUCCAGCCUCAACACACAGACUUUCCUUUGCCCAUCGUACCCUUUAAAAUUCUGCCUAGUCACGCAGAAGUAUUUGCUUGAGCUUGAUAUAAUUUUGUUAAAAGGAUCACAGCUUCCCAAAUGAGGAAAUGGCAAAGGCUGAGUUGCCUUCAUUUCUGAGAGUCAAUUAAGAAGGUGGUAAGAACACCAUCUUUAUUUAUAACCCUAUGCCCCAGUGACAAUAAAUGCUUUUUAGAGAUGAGUCACUGAAUCACGGAAAAGAAAAUGUGGGACUGUAGGAGGUCUUCCCGUUGAGAAAAACUGAGUUUCCCAGAACAUAGCUUGCAGAUAAUUUAGGGGGAGGUCAGGCAGCCAACAAUGGUGUGGGGAACAGGGCUUCUUGACAGCCUGUUUUCCCUGUGUUCAGCAGUCCAGCAUCUUGGAGGGGCCUGUCCAGUUCUCCUGGUUUGUGCCCUGUGUGGAGAACAUUCCCCAUUACAGAGACAUCUGAGUACUGAAAAGUACAUGGGAUCUGGGGACAGAAGACCUGGGUUCACGUUGAAUUUGUGCUUCAUACUGCCUGGGUUUUGGGGGAGGCCCCCAGAGCUAGCCCUAGUGCCAUCUUAAACACCCUCAAUGGUGGGUAAGAGGGUGAAGUAGUGGGUAGGCAAGCACCCGGUAAACAGGAAAGUGCUGUUUAUGUUUUUAUUUUCUAAAAUUUAUAUUUCUGGGUCAUUUCUUCAUUUAGAGAAAUUGCAUGUGUGAGAAACAAGGAUUAUUUUUCCACUGGCAGUGAUCCAGGAAAGGCAGUUGGCCCAUUAGAGCGGCCCCCAUAUGCAUAGGCUCUCCUCGAAAUACAUGGCCCCAGAAGUCACUUUGGUCUCUGAUUUCCCCUUUUCUAGGUAGAUGGACUUCUCUUCUACCACAAGCAGACCCACUACAGCCCUGGAAGCACUCCUCUUGUGGGCUGGCUGCGCCCCUACAUGGUGUCAGAUGUUCUUGGAGUAGCCGUGCCAGCUGGCCCACUGACCACCAAGCCAGAAUAUGCUGGGCAGCAGCUCCAGCAGAUUAUUGAGCACAAGAGGAGCCAGGAAGGCAUGAAGGAGAAAGUCACACACAAGGCAUCUGAGAGUGGACACUAUGAGUUGGAACACCUGUCUACCCCCAAGCUGAAGAGCCCUCCCCAUGGCCUUGACCCCCCAGGGAGCCUCAUGGAAAACUAAACAGGGUGGCUCCUUGGGGAGUCACAGGAUGGGGCUUGGUCCCAGAAGGAAGGCUGGGGAGGAGGACAAUGACAACAAACAGGUGACUUCAUUUUAGAGUGGACUUUCCAAAGCCACUCCAGCUGGAAACAGCUUAUCUCCUAUCUGAAAUGCUGGCUCAGACAGUUGAGGGCGGUUUCCAGAUUGGAUGGAUUUGGGAUUUGAGAAGUAACUCCUGUGAAAAGUGUAUCCCAGAUAUCUACAAUGUAAAUAUAUGUAAUUCUUAAGAAAGAAGGUGUUUGUGAUUCUUAAAACUUUAGAUGGCCAUGACCCUCCCCUACCUCCCCCUCCCCCCGCCCCAACCCGGGCUACCUAAACCAUGACUGUUCAAGUCUUGGCCCAUUGAACUGUUUUUAGCACUUAAGCAUUCUGCUGAGUUUCCAGUUGCUGCUGUUAGUAACGUCAUUUUCUAAAAGGUCUUACCAGGAACUGCAGUUCUUGGUAUUUGAAUAUGUUCCCUCUUCUGAGAAGUGUGAGUUUCUUUGGUUUAGACACUGCCAGAGAUAAAAUGCAAAUGGAGUUCAUUCACAACUUCAACAAACAUUUGCGCCUUCCAGAAGAUAAGCCUUGUGCUAGGCCCCCGUGAUGUAGAGAAUUAUAGGGACAGGACUUGGUGUCUGCCCUUGAGGAGUUUGCAGUCCAGUGAGGAAAGACACCCACCAGCAGGACGCUGAGACCAUUGCUUUAGGGCUGAAAGAUGCAUAGAGCUUGGGGCGGGAAAGCAGAGGAGGUUCCAUAGAGGAAGUUGGAGCAGAACUGAGGUUCUGAGCAGGACAGAAGGGGCUCUGCAGACAGGAGAGCGGGACUUUCUCACACAGGCAGCAGGGUAUGCAGUUGCACCCUCCAGAGCAGGGCAGGACUCCCUCUGGGACCUGAAGCAGGUUCAGCACGGCUCAAGUUUAAACGAGGGUUGGGGAGCUGCCCAGGAGGAGGCUGAAGAGAGAGAUGGGCUUGUGUGUUCUGCAGAGGUUUUAGAUUUGAUGUCAUGGAAGAGCUCUGAGCCGGCCAGAUCCAUUCAGAUUUGUCAAGUAGGCUCUUUGGCAGCUGUGGCAGUGGAAGAUAGUAUCUGAAACUAACCAAUUCGUUUCUGCUGUGUGUUCAGGAAAUGUGUCCCGUUUCCUGUGGCCUCGAUCUGCUUCUCACAGUGCUUUCCACCUUUCUAGGACUUCUUUUAUUGGACAAAAAGACUUCACUAUUCUAGUCCAGCAGUACUAGUGUCCUGUGGACAAAAUUUCGGAGGGAUGCAGGUCAGAUCUUGUCUGACUAGCAGUUGUUCCUUUGUGUUGAUUAAUUCUGGGAACAGAUCUGGGCAGACGUGGUUAAGUAGAGCCCGAUUACACAAAUUCAGCACACCAGUGGAACUUGCCUCAGUGUUGGGCUCUUACAGAGUUGCUCAAGCUGACUCUGUAAAAUCGGAGAAAGAAGACAACUAUCCCCCCCACCCCCCCCCCCCCCNCCCACCCCCACCCCCACCACCAUGAUCCUGCUGGCUGCAGAUUUAAGCAUGCCUACAUCAAUAAACUCUUUUCUGAAUUUGGGUCAAUUCUGCAAUAGGAACAUUGUGCUCCUCUUGCCAAGAAGCAUGUUGUCGGCUGUCUAGAUGCUACAUGAUCUUCCAAAGGAAGUCUCUAGUUUGUACUCUUAGCAGGCCAACUAUAUCAUUUCAGGAGCUGUGCAUACUAGCUAGCGUCACAGAGACUUCGCCGGGCUCUGCUCAGAAAUAAGCAGUCUGGAGAGACUGCUUCCUCAAAGGACAUUCUUGGGAGACAGAACAUACCAGCCAAACUUAUCACCAUGCACAACUUGAUAUUGUUGAAUGAUAGAUCAAAGGAUGUAUCUUAGAGGAGUGCCCCUUCUAUUUUUAACCGAGGAGCCAAUAUUAUCAAUCACUGAAUAGAAUGUGUCUUCAGGUCAUAUUUCUUAUGAAUUAUAAAACUACCUCCUGUCACCUCUUUCAAAGAUGGUUGUGUAAAUAAGUUGUCGUGAUUGGAUAUUAGUUUUCUGGCCACCCUUCUGAACAGCAACCAGUUUCUUUUUUGUGGAAUUAUCUCUUCCCCAUGCAGUGUGGUCUGGUGGGACUAUAAUCUCGGGGAAUUGCCUUCCUUUAGCCAAACAUCAGGCUCAUGACUCAAGAUGGGCCAAUCACAUGCUCCUCACCAAGAAUCUGUAUCUUAAGCAGAGGAACAAAGAGAGUGAAUCCAUUGGAAUUCAUUUAUUUUGUCCUCAGAAAGGCAGAGGGUGUUGCUGAGAACUCACUGAACUGAACUGAGAACUCACUGAAAGCUGUUAUACUCACAGGUAGAGUUUGUCACAGUGAAAGGAAACAGAUUAGUUAGCCAAGGGAAGAAAUGUAUGGGGCAGAGUCCCAAAAAUUCUAAGUACGAGUCUUCCAGUUGUCCUCUCCCAGUGGAAUCAUGGACAGCAUUAACUUUCCUGGGUACUGUGUGUGACAGUAUCAUGGAGUAUUGGCAACCAGAGAAUCUGACCUGAGCCUUGGUGUCCAAAGUUUUUACUGGGACUUGGUCAUAUAGACCUGAUUGGCUGACCCCAGUCUCUAGCCUCUCCAGAGGUCUAGCUGAUAACACAUGAUCCAAAGUCCUCAUUUCCCCCCAAUCACAUUGCUAGACUGUCUAGUGUGGCCAAAGACCCCCAGGUAAACACUUUUUUUAGGACAUUUCAAAGGCUUAGAGCUUGUUUCUAGGAGCCAAGGGCAAAGGCUACCCUCCCUUUGAGCAAGGUUAAAUUCCUUACUAUGUACUCCCUCUAUUAGAUUGCAGGUUCUUUGAGAUCACAGACCUGGUCUUAUUCAUCUGGCAUUGUGCUUGGCACUUGUAUUAAUUAGUGUUGGUUGGGUGAAUGAAAUGAUGAACUGGAAUGAGAAGGCAGUCUGAGGGACAGCCCCUCUCUUCUCUACUGCAUAGAGUAGUGACCCUGGAGAGGAGGCUGAGUGGAGGUAUGUGGUGGACUGCUAAUGGGUGGUUGAAUAGACUGUAGAGUUCUAAGAAUAUGAACUGUGGUUCUGUGAAUGUGCCUGAAAGGACAACCUGAAAACUUAUCAGGAUUGAAGCUAUAGACUUCUAGCAAGGAAAUGAGUAAAAACCUCACAAUACAUAUUUUUAAGCAGAUGUGGUCAUUUGUUUUAUGCCUUCUGAUAUGUAGGGCAGGAAAAGUAGAGAAAAGCCUUGAGAUUUUGGCAACAGUAUGACUGCUUGCUUUGGUAAGACACACUGAUUUCUGAGUUCCACCCUGUCUUAGGAUUCUGUGAUUACACCCAGUCUUUACAUCAAAACAGAACCAAUUUUAAGGGGCACCUGGGUGGGGCUCAGUUGGUUAAGCGUCUAACUCUUGAUUUUGGCUCAGGUCAUGAUCUCGUGGUUGUGAGAUCGAGCCCUGCCUCAGGCAUUACCCUGAGUGUAGAGCCUGCUUAAGAUUCUCUUUCUCUCUCUUUGCCCCUCUCCCCCAUUUGCUCUCUCUCUCUUUAAAAAAAAAUACAGAGGGGUGCCUGGUAGCUCAGUCAGUUAAGCAACUGACUUCAGCUCAAGUCAUGAUCUCACAGUUCAUAAGUUUGAGCCCCACAUAGGGCUGUGUGCUGACAGCUUGGAGCCUGGAGCCUGCUUGGAAUUCUGUCUCCCUCUCUUUGCCCCUCCCCUACUCACAUUUUGUCUCUCUCUCAAAAAUAAAUAUUAAAAAAAAUUUUUAAUUAAAAAAAAAAAGAACCAAAUUCAUUUAAAAAUUUUGUUUCCCACCAAGUCCUGAGAAGUUUGGUCUUGGGUCUUGAUUUGAUUGUGAUUUACCCCAGGCUCCCUCCCCAGUGGGUCCACUGCAAGGCAGAGGCAAGGAGAAGGGGCCUGGGAGAGCUGAGAGGUUGGCAGUAGUGAAGACGAAUUAAGAAUAGCCUCCCCCAGGGGUCCUGGGUAUCUCAGUAGGUUAAGCAUCCAACUCGAUUUGAGCUCAGGUCAUGAUCUCACGGUUCAUGGGUUUGAGCCCCACGUUGGGCUCUGCACUGAUAGUGUGGAACUUGCUUGGGAUUCUCUCUCUCCAUUUCUCUGCUUCUCCCCUGCUGGCUCUCUUUCAAAAUAAAUAAAUAAACUAAAAAAAGGAAAAAGCAUGGCCUCAGGCAGAGCUUCUGGGUGGCUCAGUCGGUUAAGUAUCUGGACUCUUGAUUUCAGCUCAGGUCAUGAUCUUGCUGAUUAGGGGUCUCACUGAGCAGGAGAUGAGAAGAGACAAAAUUUGAAACCUGGAUAGUACUUCUGGCUAAGACUUGGCACAGACUAUUAACAUUUGUAGCGAACUUCCUCCCUUCUUCCUUCCCUCCGGCUGGCGGUCCUUCAAGUCUGCCCUCUGUCUCCCUCUGCUUUGGCCCUGCAGGUUUUCUCCCCAGUCAGACCCGGGAAAUAAAAGAUGAAACUCCAGUCUGUCAGUUCUGCUUCUCUUUGGCAACUUUAACAAAAGCUUUUAUAAGGGAGGAAGUUGAAACUGGUUCAAACAAGGUUCUGUCUAUUUGUGGACUUAAUUUGUCCAUUCUGCUCUGGACUCCCAUAAGUCAAAGUGAGUGAAAGCAGUGGAACUCAGAUGGUACCUCCCUCUUAUAUCCGAUGUUUUCUCAUAAGCAACUAAGUAUCCAAGGUAACCAAACCAGUUGGGUAUUCUUUGGUAAAAACUGGACCUUGUUGGCUAGAAAGGACAGAUCCAUUCUUUUAGCAAACAUUCAGUACCACCUACUGGGUACUGUAUAUUGUGCUAGGUUCUAAAGAAAGAGUAAUGACUAAGACAUGAUCCCUGCCCCCAAGGAACUCAUGAUCUAGUGGGAGAAAUGGACAAGGAAGCAAAUAAUUAGAGUGUUAAGUAAACUCUAGACACAGGUGUAAGGUGUGGAAGUAACAUAGAAUAGUGACUGAUUAACCUGUGAUUUGGGAGUGGCACAUAAGGUGUCAGAUGAGAAAAUUGUAUGAGGAAAGAGCCAGCUCAUGUUCUCAUUAAAAACAAAAACAAAAACAAAAAACAAAAAAUGGCCAAGAACAGCAAUAGGUAAGGACUGAUCCCUAGAGUAUUUGGGGUAAUGGGGGAAUUUAAUCUAUGUGGGAUAAGAUUUUUCACCUUUCUUGCAGGGCUCACCUUCAGCCAUUCUAGUGGUGGUAGAUUUAGCCUAUGAGUAAACAAGAAAAAAAUGUAUAGACCCUGGUUAGCAGUAUUAUUUACUUAUUUACUGUAUGUCUGUUUGCCUUUUAGAAAAAUAGCAGUAAGAAUUUUGGGGGAUCUUUUAUAGCCAAAACAUGUGUGUAUAGCACAAUACAUCUUUUCCACAGGCAGUAGAUAUUUUGGAGCAAUGUUUGAGAGGAGCUUUGGAUUUUAGUUUAUUAUUUAAAAAAAAUUUUUUUUAAACGUUUAUUUAUUUUUGAGAGAGACAGAGAGAGACAGAAUGAGAGUGGGCUGGGGCAGAGAGAGAGGGACACACAGAAUCGAAGCAGGCUCCAGGCUCUGUGCUCACAGCACAGACGUGGGGCUCGAACUCACGAGCUGUGAGAUAAUGACCUGAACUGAAGUCAGAGACUUAACUGACUGAGCCAUCUAGGCACCCCUGUUUCAAAAAAUGUUUAAAAAACUUUUUAUUUGUUUUUGAGAGAGUGGGGGAGGAGCAGGGAGAGAGAGGGAAGCAGGCUCCACGCUGACAGCAGAGAGCCCAAUGUGGGGCUUGAACUCCCAAAUUGUGAACUUAUGACCUGAGCUGAAGUCAGACACUUCACCGACUGAGCCACCCUGGUGCCCCUUUAUUAUUUAUUUUUGAAGGUGGUUGUCUUCACUGAUUGAUUCAUUCAAUAGAUUUAGAAAGGCCUGCCUACUAGGUACUAGGCUCUAGAUACUGAAGGGCCAGGGGCCAACAAGAUACAAGUGGUUCCUGACUUUCUGGAGCUUACUGUCUCAUAGAGCAGCAGAGACUAGGCUGAUGGACGUAGAAACAAGGGCACAAUUAGGAAUAGUGAUCAGCUCUCUGAUAAAAGAAUAAGAGGGCACUGUGAGAGAGAGCAACAGGGAGUCUCAGUGUAGGGAGUAGCCAAUGACGAUCUUGCUGAGGAGGUGACUUUUGAGUUGAGACCUUAAGGAUGAGUCAGAUUUGUCUGGUGAAGAAGGUGGGAGGAAGGGGAGGAUAAGGUUUCUAGACAGAGACCUGAACCCUUUGCUUUAAAAGCAAAAAACAGGGGGCACCUGGGUGGCUCAGUCAGUUAAGCAUCCAACUCUUGACUUCAGCUCAGGUCAUGAUCUUUUGGUCAUGAUCUCACAGGGUCCUGAGAUUGAGCCCAUGUCGGGUUCUGCUCUGGGCCUGGGUGUGGAGCCUUCUUAAGAGUCUCUCCCCCUCUGCCCCUCCUCUACUUACACACAUGUGCUCUCCUUGUCUCUCUCUCUCUCUCAAAAAAAAAAAAAAAAAAAUAAUAAUAAUAAUAAUAAUAAAAUUAAGGCAAAAACCAAAAGUACAAUUCAUAACACCCCUCCUGCCAACAUUCCUCUUUGUAAUUUAUUUUUUACUUUCAGAUUUCAGUUCAUGUUAAUUUAAUAAAAAUGUGAUUUUUGUCUGUCACCUAUAUUUGCCCAACCCUAUCCUCACCUUCCUCCCGAGGCCCUGCAGCCAAGCAUUAAAAAAUCUGAGGAGGCUAUGUCAAUACAUGUGGAUCUACCUUUAUAUUUUUUGCAAAAUGAUAAUUUCAGCUAUCUCAUGCUGUGAUGGUGAGAUUAGAUGAAGUCAUUUAGAACAGUGCCUGGCACAUGGUAGGGACACAAAUGUGAACUUAGUAUUUCAGUGUAUGUGUGUACUGUAAUUUCAUUACUGAGUUUUCUAUUGAUGGACCAUUAUGUUGUUUCCAAUCAUUUGCUAUUUGGCAUCCCUAAGAUUUGAUUGACUAUGAUAACAGAUAGUACCAUACUUGAUUUUGUUGGUUCAAGUGUGCAGUUAAAGGCAAGCCUUUGUACUCCGACUCUCCUAGGAUUACUGAUGAAAGCAAAUCCAGCCAGCUCCCUUGUUCUUAGUUUUGUUACCCCUGUGUCUGCUCAGAAACUUCCAAACGUUGUCCUGUUAGGACUGUGAUAGGCAGCAGUUCUGGAGAGCUGUUCUCUUACAUACCCACACGCCCACACACACAGCUGUGCCUCUGAAAACACUGCUGAGUUUUCUCUCCUAGCUCACUCUGUUAGAUUUCUCCCUUUAUUUACUUAUUCUUCUUAAUUUUUCAAAAAAUUUAAUGUUUAUUUAUUUUGAAAGAGAGGCAGAGUGAGAGCAGGUGAGGGGCAGAGAGAGGAGACACAGAAUCCAAAGCAGGCUCCAGGCUCUGAGCAGUCAGCACAGGGCCCAACGCUCAAACCCACGGAUCGUGAGAUCAUGACCUGAGCUAAAGUCAGAAGCUUAACGCACUGAGAUACCCAGGCGCCCCAAACCUCUCCCUUUAUUAAUUCUCUUCACCUGAUCCCUGUACUAGGACUUUAAAUGCCUGGAUCCAAGUUCUAGCCCAACAGUAAUUAAUUAGCUAGCUGUGUGACUUUGAAGAAAUCACUGACCCCCAGUGUCCUGAGAAUCACUAGGCAAAACUUCUCCUGUGUACACUCAACGGUGUGUGCUUGCUCAGGUCCCGCUAUUUCCUACUCCAGCUUAGUUCUAGAGCCAUUCGCCUGCUCUGGGAGAAAAACUAUGUUUAAGUUACUAUUUAAAUUUGGUGGUGGGGGGGGAGAUUAUAUAUCCACAGCAAGAUUUAAACACGCUACGCUGUUGGAAGCCAAAAUAGUAAUUACUCUUGAGGAGUAGUGACUGGGAGGGGACAUAAGGGGGAUUUUGGCAAGUUGGGAAUGUUCUAUUUCUUUUUUUUUUUUUAACGUUUAUUUAUUUUUGAGACAGAGAGAGACAGAGCAUGAACGGGGGAGGGGCAGAGAGAGAGGGAGACAGAGAAUCUGAAUUAGGCUCCAGGCUCGGAGCCUUCAGCCCAGACCCCGACGCCGCGGGGCUCGAACUCACAGACUGUGAAAUCGUGACCUGAGUCGAAGUCGGACACUUAACCGACUGAGCAACCCAGGCGCCCCAAGGGAAUGUUCUAUUUCUUGAUCUGUGUGUUGGUUAUAUGGGUGUGCUCAGUUUAUGAAAAUUCACCAUGCUGUAUGCUUCACCUUUCUGUAUGUAUGUUAUACUUCAAUAAAAAGUUAGCAAAAAAAAGAAAACCAAAAACUUAAAAUGUGCAAAAGACCAUAUAGGGAAAAGUCCCUCUUUCCCUUCUGCUCUCCUGACUCUGGCUUCUCCUCUUGAAAGACAAUCAAAUCAGUGAUCUUUUCCUUCCUUCCUUCCUUCCUUCCUUCCUUCCUUCCUUCCUUCCUUCCUUUUUCUUUCUUUUUAUGUUUAUUUAUUUUGAGACACACACACACACACACACACACACACACACACAACACACAGUGCAAGCCGGGGAGGGGCAGAGAGGGAAACAGAAUCCAAAGCAGGCUCCAGGCUCUGAGCUGUCAGCACAGAGCCUGACAUAGGACUCAAACUCACAGACCAUGAGAUCAUGACCAAAGUCGGACACUCAACCAACUGAACCACCCAGGCACCUUAACCAGUGAUCUUUCUUCUGUAUCCUCCCAAACUCUUUCUACCUAUAAAUAAGUUUAUAUGUUCUUUUUUUUUUUGUACAAAUGAUAUCAUUAUGUACACUAUUUGAGUCUUGUUUUUUUUUUUAAUUUUUUAAAAUAUUUAUUUUUGAGAAAGAGAGAAAUAGAGCAUGAGCGGGGGAGGGGCAGAGGGCAAGAAGGAGACACAGAAUCUGAAGCAGGCUGCAGGCUCUGAGCAAGCUGUCAGAGCAGAGCCUGAUGCAGGGCUCAAACCCACAAACUGUGAGAUCAUGACCUGAGCCAAAGUCGGAUGCUCAUCCGACAGAGCCACCCAGGCACCCCGAGUCUUGUUGUUUCUACUUCACAAUAUAACUCAGGGAUCAUUCCAUAUCCUUACAUGUGGAGGAGACCAUUGUGUUGUUCAUUGUUGUAACCCCAGUAUGUACUGGGGUUGGCAAGUCCAGUGCUUGGCAUGAAAAUAUACUUGUUCAAUAAAUAGAUUGCCUUCCAGAGAGGUAUCUGGUUGCAGUACUGAAACUGUAACUCUUGUAUGGGGUGAUGAACUCAACCAAGAGUCAGCUUUAUUGGUGCAAAUAACCUGAGAUAGAAGAAACAGAUCCAAGUUCCAGGGGUUUCUUGUUUUAUUCAUGGCAAAUUAUGCUCAGAAACUGACAUUAUCUUUGCCAAUAAUUUAACACAGGUUCACUGCAGGAAUUAUAAUUUAUAAUAAUAUUUCACAAGCCAGUAGCACACAGGAUAAUAUCUCUUAAGUCAAUAAAGAAAUAGCAUAAUCUAAACCAAUGAUAGAUUAAUUACACUAUCGUUGCAGACAAAGGGACGAUGAAAGAGAUGAACGAAAGUCCAAAUUUAGAUGAUGUGUACAUUUCUACCAGUUGGUUCUUGGUAGAGUCCAACUAAAAGCGAGGUGUCAGCUGCCAGCUUAGGUCCCUCCCUGCUUGGGGCAUGUGGCUAUCAGGCUAUGGUUGGCAGCCAUAAGUGGGCUGCUCUGAAGGUUAUGUCUUCAGAACAUUUACAUAUCUUGUGCCACUGCCUACAAGGAGUAGCCUGGCCGAGGCAGGAACAGAUGUCCCUUCUCUUCCUCAGACUGCUGCACAGCUUACCACCACUGCUGACUAAGAGUAGGGCACAGUAGGAGCAAAUGUCUCAAGAUCUUUGGAAACCUAUUUAGAUCAGCAAAGAGUAGCCGUGUCCAAACUGAACACUCUAGAGUUACUGUUCAAACCUCCUGGUUUUUAAAGUUUAAAAGUCCAUCACAUGAUGGACACCACUGGUGUUUCUAUGGUGUCAGUGACGUAAUGGUCCUCUUUACUCCGGGUGCAAGAGUUGGAUAAGAACGUCCUAAUACCAAACUUCAAAACAAUUUCAUCAAAACAAAUUAAAACCACAAAUAACUUUGUUCCAAAACAUGGAUCUGAAAUCGUGACAAGUCAGUGCACAACAUUUUUCUAACCAAGGGCAACUUGAAGUUCUUAUUUUAAUGAUGCAGAAAUGAGAUGAAGUCAGUGGUUGCUUCUGAAAUCCUCGAAGGAGCAUUAGAAGCCAGAGCACCUUCCUCUGUUGUCUGAAGACCUCUCCCUUGGAUGUCUCUCCUAGCUCUCCAGGGCUUCAGCCAUUAGGACUAGCUGUAGCUUGUUAGCUGGAUCCCUUUUGGAAUAUUUCUUUUUGGACUGAAAUAUUGCAACAACAUACUAGACCAGCCCUGCCUUCCCUGUGCCUCUCCUAGGGAUCCCAAGACUGUCCUGUAACACCCUUCACGCUCUUUGCUGUGAUUGCCCAAGUGAAAACCCAAGGUUUGCAAAGGCUGUGUAAUUCCGGCAUCAGGUUUGAAAUCGGAUGCUGCUUUUGUGAGGGACUAAAAUUAGCCAUCCUGGUUAUGGAUUACAGGAUACGCGCAACAAAGAGAAAGUGAGAGCAGGGUCUGGUCCUUCACCAGACCUCCUAGACGUCGCAGGCAACCUUUCUUUACAGGGUCUUCCAGUCAGCAAGUGACAUGGAGACAGAUGAGGAUUGGUGGGUCCCUCACACGAUGGGGCAGCAGCAAGUAACCCCGGCGAGGUGCCCGACAGCAGCUCGUUUUCAAACGAAUGUAUUCUCUUCCUCCUCCACGGAACUGAACCGUAAAAAUCACGCCCCUUUCUUCCUCGUACCCCAUCCUCGCAGCCGGGAGUCGCCGAAGCCCCUCCCAGCGCCGGUCCCUCCGGUCUCCCCUCCCCCGCCCCCUGUUUCCCCCGCCUGGGCUCCUCUCUGUCUCCCCCUCCCGGACAGCGUCCGCGCUCGGCCGGCCCUCCCGCCGCCUGUUUGUGAAUGAGACGCUCAGUUUCUCAAUGGAGCCGCGGGGGGCUCGGGCGGACGCGGCGCGGCCGCAGCGCUGGCCCUGAGCCCGGAGGGGGGCGCCUUUUCCUCGCUCCCUCCCCUCUUCCCUCCCUCCCGCCGCCGCGGCUUUUGAGGAACGGGGCUGAGAGGCCGCCGCGUAGGUCGCCGGGGCCCGCAUCCCCGAGGACUCCGCCUCACGCUCCGGAGGAGCCGGCGCGCGGCCGGGGAGCCAGACGCCGAGGAGGCCGGCGGCCUUCGGCAAAUUUCCGCCGAGACCCUCCGCUCUGGGCUUAGAAAGUUCUUGAGUUCGUAUUUCCUUUUUAAAUCCCGGUUGGCUAUUAGCUCUUCGCCGGCACCUUUUUUUUUUUUUUCCGGGAGAGGAGGGGGAGUGCGGGGAAAGGAGAGAAGAAAAUAAAAAAGGAUUUCCGCCCGGAGAGAGCGACAGUUGUGAGAGCUUUUCCUUCAGGAGACAGGAGCGGCGUUCGCGGCCGCCGCGNNNNNNNNNNNNNNNNNNNNNNNNNNNNNNNNNNNNNNNNNNNNNNNNNNNNNNNNNCCCCGCCGGCCCCACCAUGCGCGAGCCGGCCUCCGGCUGUUGAGGCACGGAGACGCGGAAGCGUCGGCCGGCAGCACCGGGCUCUCGGCGCUCCCGGGCGCGUUCGGUCGGCCGGGCGGCGGCGGCGGCGGCGGGAUGGAGCCCGCGACCGCGCCCCAGCCCGACAUGGCGCCGGAGCUGACCCCGGAGGAGGAGCAGGUAAGCGGGGCCGCGGCCGCGGCGGUGGGUGUGUCCGGACCCCCGAGGCCUAGGCCGGCCUCUGCCCGCGGAGGCCGCGCGCUCCACGGCCCCCGGCCCGCGGGUGCCCCUUCCCCCGGCGACCGCGCCCCAGGCCGUCAGCCCCCGACCCGGUGGACGCCGCGGGACGCAGCUCCCGGCCUCUUCGGUCCCUUAGGCUUACGGGCCUCAGAUCGCCCCCUCCCCCCAUUCUGGUGGUAAUUCAAGUUCCUCGGACUGGGGGGCCUCCCUUUCCCUCCCACCACCCUCGACCCCCGACGUUUGCUGAACACCUACUUGCCUUCGGGCCCUCCACCCCUAUAAAUGUUCAGCUUCUUUCCUUAAGGGUUUGUGGUUUUUUAAGGACAGGCAAAGUCCCGUUGGGGGGAGGAUUCCUGUGGGGAACAUCUCCCCACCCGAGGAGAGUGGUGAUAGGCAGUGGGUACGUAGAUGCCCUAGAUUUUCAGAUGAGCCCCUCGGGCUUCUCACAGGGCUGUGGCAGGCCUACUUGGGCAGAUUCUGGAAGAUCCAGGCCUCAUGCACCCGAAGCCCCUGGCCUGGACCGCCCUAUUCAGCGCUCUCAAACUGGGCGCAUCCUCUCACCCCCACUUCCCUACCCACCCUCCCAUCUCAUCUCGCUUGUCUCCAUCUUUCUGGAGCCUAUGUUGAGCUCCAUUGUCCCUUAAAGCUUAUGACCUUCAGUUCCCAGGAGGAAGUGGUUUGCGGUGUCAUUCUGGGGGUUUGGGUAAGGGAAAAGCCCAGGGCCCUUGUAUCUUUCCCUCCUCCACAUUCCUUCUGGGGAGACACGGACCACUCCUUCAGAGGAAGAUUGGAAAAUCUGCUAGCUGAGAUUGGGAACCCUAAAGACUUUCGCUAUCUCUUCCUUGGCACUGCCCAUACCCGGCUUUAGCUAUGCUCAAAUAUAGCCAUAGUCUGAUUUCAUGUUUAAAAAAACAAAAACCUGAAAUAAGAAAAAGAUGAACCAUACUGGUAACCCGUUUCAGGCCCUCCAGCCCUUAUUCCCAAGGACCACAUUUGGUAGCACAGUCUCUAGGGUGGAGACAGUCCGAUUUUACAAACUAGUAUUAGUUAAUGGGCUUAAGACCUGAUUUUUAAAAAGCUCUUGACUUUUCUCCUCAUUUGUGGAGAUGACAUUUUUCACAUUUGGCCUCAAACCACUAUCUUGCCUUUUCACGCCUUGAGAUAAAAUCAGCAUGGGAGAAAAAAAAAAUUCUGCUCUGUAGGAGCAGUGGUAACAUCCUGGUAUCUGCAGUUGAGUGUUAAUAAAAUGCUAGUCAAGGCCUAGUGCAAGCAGGUGGCCAAGGAGCCUGUCCUUCCAGAAUUAGGGAAAUACUUCAGUACUAAGGUUGUGGUGUUGAUUUUAAAGAGGCAAAACCCGUUCACUUCUUUUCCUUGGAUUAGUCAGAUUUAGAGUUUCUGUUUCUAUGACUUAAAGGCAUUAGUAUUCCACUAUGAAAACGGGAUUAGGUUGCAAGUUAAAAAAUUAAAACCAAGGAAAGCAAGUAUUGAUAAAGUCAGUGCUUUACUCUGUAUAGAGUAUUUGCAUAUACUUUUAUAGUGUUUAGUAAAAUCUUUGUAUUUAGUGGAAAUCUUUUACAGUGAAUAAACGUGAUGGGCAUUAAUAAGGACUGGAUGGUAACAGUAAAAUAUUUUUAUAUUAAGAUCAAGAAGGUAUGUGGGUUUUUAAAAUCAUACCUUUUCCUACAAAAUGUCAGGUUUUCUACAAGCAUUUCAAAAUGUUGAAGCAAACAUAAAAUUAGCAUAGUUCCAAUUAUUGUGAUUGUAAUGAAAUUGUAAAAUUUCAUACUUUAAUAUCACAUAAGAGCACUCUUCACUGUUAUGAUUUAUUUAGAUUAUGUUAAGCAGCCGCAAAUUCAUAUUGGUCUUAUCUAAGUAGUGAUCAUGGGAUAUGACACCUUCAUUUCAUAAUGCUGCCCCAUUGCUGAAACCAAUUUUAUUUAUUUCUUAUCAAAAAAUUUUUAAUGUUUUAUUUAUUUUUGAGAGAGAGAGAAAGAGAGAGAGAGAGAGCGCGCGAGCGAGCAUGAGGCAGGGGGGAGGGCCAGAGAGAGGGAGACACAGAAUCAUCCAGAGCAGGCUCCAGGCUUUGAGCUGUCAGCACAGAGCCUGACCUGGGGCUCAAACUCAGGAACGCCUUGAGAUCAUGACCUGAGCUGAAGUCGGAUGCUUAACCAACCCAGCCACCCAGGUGCCCCUCAAACCAAUUUUAGAACUCAUUUUAAAGCUUGUGGCAGAAUCUUUCAGAUAUCUUCAGUGUUGGAAACAUCUUAUCCUUUUGAGGGUCAAUUUGCUUUUUGGAAAUACCAAUCUUUUGGAAUCUUAUAAGUAAAGGAUCACACUAGGUUAACACAGGUACAGGCGAAAAUGAAAUACAUUUAUGCAUUUAGGUCCUUUUGGGGGGUAGGUUAACUAACUGCUUUAAAGAUGUUUCUGGAGCAGAUCUCUCCUGAAUGGUAUAUUCUUGUAUAUAGUCAUGUGAAUCAGAAACCCAGAAGUUUCUUGAACAUUUUGCUUUCCCUCAGGCCCUGUACACUACACAUCAUCAGAUUUUCCUGAAUAUCUCUCGAAUUCAUCAACUUCUUCCACUAUCACCAUCACCCUAGUGCCCAAGCUGUUGUUAAAUGUAUCCUUACAGAACUUUUGUUUCCUACCUGAUCAUCUGCAUUCCUUACUCUUAUUCCAGAAGGCAAAGGCAAAUUGAAAAUCUCAUUGUGUCUCCAGUCUGCCUCCCUGCCCCUAAAAGAAGCAUUUAUAAAACCCUUCAGUGGCUUUUCAUUACUUUUGGGAUAUAACAACUCCUGAGUAUGAUCUACAAUGCAUGGGCCCUGAGUGUGGUCUAGAGCCCUAGCUAAUUCUCACACCUCGUCUUUCCUCCAGGCACACAGGCCUUUUGGUCCUUCAUUCUUGCUGUUUUCUCCUGGUACAGGGUCUUUGUACGGACUGCUUUCCCCUGACUGGGAACACCUGCCACUGUUAACUCUCUCUUCAUCCUCAGCUUUUGCUUCCUCAGGAAGGCCUUCCUUGAUCUCCCCAAUUAAGUUAGAUCUGUGUUACUGGCUCUUAGAGUACCAUGUACUGUCCUUUAUAUCACUUUUCACAAGUUUACACUAUUUGUGGGAUUGCAUGACUGGAAGCUCCAUGAGGGUUGGAACUGUGUCUACUUUUGCCCAUUGCCAUAUGCACAUCGCCUAGCAUAAUGAUUGGCACUUAGUGUAUGGACAUUCUGGAAAUACUUGUGGAACAAAGAGUAGUUCGGUACAUGAAUAGAACACAGACAGCAUCAUCUCCUUUCUGAGGGGCUUGUAAAAAUAAGGACAUUGUUCAUUUUUACAUAUACUUCUGAAGGUCAUCAUUAUUGCUUUGUAGUCUCAUUUCCUAUCUAGGCAUGUGCUGAACUGAUAUAUCAAAUUCUCAUUUGUAACUCUGAUGUUUCUUGCCUUUAUUUUUUCAGUUCGCAGUAGUUAACAGAGCUUACAAUUGAGUUACAAGAAAAAGUGAGCUUUGCCUUUAAUAAAUUUACAUGAAUAGCAACAGGGUAAUAACAGUAACUGUUUCCUGAGUUUCUGCUUUGAGUCAGGCUCCGCGCUGGGCAUUUCACAUACGAUUAAUCCUCAUACGAUUGGAAUUAUUACCUCAUUUUGCAAACAAGAAAACUCAGACUGAGAGAAGGAAAUUGCCCAAGGUCACAUAGCUAGCAAGCAAUGGAGCCAUGAUUUCCACCCAGUUCUGGGUUAUUCUGCCUCCACUGCAAAUGUUCCCUGUAUUAUACUACAUAACUUCUCAUGAAGCAGCUAGUUACCUUACUAAGAUGUCUGCAUGCAUGUAUAAUAGUUAAUUUUGUUGGUUUGGGUAUUGAUAUAUGUGUAUUUGGUUUUGAUGAUGUGUCUUAAAAUAUGGUUUAAAAAUUGCACAGAAGAAAAAUUUUGGAAGACCUUUACUCAGACCUAUUGCCAACAGAGACAUACACAGUCUAUGCAAGAAAUUGUGAUGAAAGUACUCUUGAGAAAAAAUGUGUUCCCUAAGAUAGGGUUGACGACUCUCCAUUUUGAGGUGUGGUCACAAUAAAAAUUUAAUUUUUUGAUAUCUUCUUUAGCUUUUGUAUAGGAGAAAUAACUAUUCAUGGAACCAAAUAUGAAGAAUAUUAUCUCUCCAAACUUUAAAAAGCUAGGUGUUUUGUAUGUUAAUGUGUAUAUAUAAAAGCCUUUCUUCAUGGGCUGCAAAAUUAUAAGUUUGGCAGUGUGAAGGGUAAUUUCUACAUAUCAGCAUUAGUCUUCAUUUUUAUUAUGUUACUGAUUGUCUUAAUUUCACUUUGCCAGAGCAUAUACUAACAUUUGUACCUUGACCUGAAGUUGAUAAUUUUUGAAUUAUAGUUAACUUGAAAGAUAAUUAAGGGUUUCUUCAAGGGGGGGGGUUAAAAAAGGGGGUCUCUUACUCAUCUGUUCUAUGUCUAAAACCUACAAAGUUUAAGUGAGACUCCCUGAGUUACAUCUGCGCAUAAGUUGUGAGAAAUCUCUCUUUGUAAUCAAACCAUAAAAUAAAGACUCACCUAGGAUUCUAAGGAUACUCAGAUUCAGAAAUUACAGCUUUUAAGGGUCUUGAUUUUACAUGGAUUUCCCAGUAGUGAUUAAUAGGAUAGAAGAAUAGAGUAGUUUUCAAGGCGCCUGGGUGGCUCAGUCGGUUAAGCGUUGGACUUCUGCUAAGGUCAUGAUCUCACAGUUCUUGAGCCUUGAAUCAAGCCUUGCAUCAAGCCUCACAUCGGGCUGUGGGCUGUCAGCUCGCAGUCUGCUUUGGAUCCUCUGUCUCUGUCUCUGUCUCUGUCUCUCUCUCUCUCUCUCUCUCUCUGCCCCCCUCCCAUGUGCGCUUUCUCUCUCUCUCAAAAAUAAAUAAACUUUGAAAAGAAGAACAGAGUAGUUUUCUAAAGUACUUAUGCAUUUAUGCAUAUUUUUAUUUUAUGUUAUUUAAUUAAUUUAUUUUUGUGAUAAUGAUUUCAGGAAUUGAAUUUAGUGAUCCAUUACUUAUAUAGAACACCCAGUGCUCAUCCCAACAGGUGUCCUCCUUAAUAUCCCUUGCCCAUUUAGCCCAUCCCCCACUCAACAGCCCUCCAGCAACCCUUAGUUUGUUCUCUGUAUUUAAGAGUCUCUUAAGGUAUGCCUCCCUUUGUUUUGUUUUAAUUUUUUUUAAUGUUUAUUUAUUGAGAGACAGAGAGAGGCAGAGUGUGAGUCAGGGAGGGGCAGAGAGAGAGAGGGAGACACAGAAUCUGAAGCAGGCUCCAGACUCUGAGCUGUCAGCACAGAGCCCGACGCAGGGCUUGAACCCAUGAACCGUUAGACGAUGACCUGAGCCAAAGUCAGAUACUUAUCUGACUGAGUCACCCAGGCUCCCCUUUCUCUCUGUUUUUAUAUUAUUUUUGCUUCCCUUCCCUUAUGUUCAUCUGUUUUGUAUCUUAAAUUCUUGUUUUACUUUUUUUAAGAUUUGAUUUUUAAGUGGGGCGCUGGGUGGCUCAGCCGGUUAAACGUCUGAAUUUGGCCCAGGUCAAGAUCUCACAGUUCGUGAGUUCGAGCCCCACAUCAGGCUCUGUGUUGACAGCUUGGAGCCUGGAGUCUGCUUUGGAUUCUGUGUCUCCCUCUCUCUCUGCCCCUCCCUAGCUCACGUUCGCGCGCGCGCGUGCUCUCUCUCUGUCAAAAAUAAAUAAACUUAAAAAAAAAAAAAGAUUUGAUUUUUAAAUAAUCUCUACCCCCAACAUAGGGCUCAAACUCACAACCCCAAGAUCAGGAGUCAUGUGUGCCACUGACUGAGCCAGCCAGGCACCAUGCAUAUUUUCAUCUUAGACCGAAGUUGGUUUUAAUAACUUGUAUAGUGCUUCUUGCACAUUAAAAAUAAUUCAUGAAUUUCUUUAAAGUUGCUGUAACAAAUCUAAUAUUUAUUUUCAAAGCCUCUAAAGAAAAUUUCUAUUUUAGAGUUAAUGUUGUUCAGAGCAUUAUUGUGAAGUUAGUAAGUUAGUGCUUACAUUGUAAGCACUCAGUAAAGUUAGCCUUUAUCAUAAUAUUCUCUGUUUUUGAAUAGUGAAAGAUUUUAGAGCCAAGUUAGCUUAAACUAAUCCCAAGGGAGAAAAAUAUUUAUAUUUACCCUGGGGAUUAUCACUUAGCAUGGAUUCAUAUGAAUGCCAGAAAAUAGUUAUCUUGUAACUCUAUCACAUAGUUUUCAAAAACCUAUUCUAAUUCUAUGCUGUGGUUUGUGUUCUUAUAACAGGGAUCAUCUGAAGCUAAAAAUUUAACUGCCUUGCAGUGGACUUCAGAGAUUUUUGGCAUUUUUCCCAAGGGCAAGGGUUUUUGUCCUGGUUCUUGUGGCCAAGAACUUCCCUUUUCCCACAGCCUCACAUGUCCUGUGCUAAAUGUCAUCUGUCCCCCCAGAAGUAUCCAUACGUCAAGGACCAGAUGAUUCAUAACAUUAAGUAGAGGCCUUCCAGAGAGCGGAAAGAUGAAGAA
rnacentral:lncRNA from 1 species